rnacentral:rRNA from 1 species
AGGUAGCAUAAUCAUUAGUCAUUUAAUUGGUGACUUGUAUGAAGGAUUGGAUGAGAUAUAAUCUGUCUCUUAUUUAAUAGUAAAAUUUAAUUUUUAAGUUAAAAAGUUUAAAUAGUUUAAAAAGACGAGAAGACCCUAUAGAGUUUUAUAAAUAAAUUAAUUAAGGUUAUUAGGAUAGUUUAAAAUUAAAAUUAAUUUAUUUAUUUUGUUGGGGUGAUAGAAAAAUAUAUUUAACUUUUUUUUUUAGUUAAACAUUUAUAAGUGGUUAAAUGAUCCAUUAUUAUUGAUUAUAAGAAAAAAUUACCUUAGGGAUAACAGCGUAAUUUUUUUUUUUAGUUCA